GUGAGGGAGGGGGUGACUAGUGACAGAAGGAGGGAGGGAGUAGUGACAGAGGGAGGUGGUGACUAGUGACAGAGUGAGGGAGGGAAGGGUGUGACUAGUGACAGUCACCACCUCCUUCACUCUGUCACUAGUCACCCCCUCCCUCACUCUGUCACUGUGACACCCUCUCUCUCACUCUGUCACUAGUCACCCCGUCCCUCAC